rnacentral:pre_miRNA from 1 species
CAAAAGCUCAUUCAGGUUUUUCUGUAAGAUACUAUGGAAAAACCAGAACGAACUUUUUGG